rnacentral:rRNA from 1 species
UUGACGGGGGCUCACACAAGCGGUGGAGCAUGUGGCUUAAUUCGAGGCUACGCGAAGAACCUUAUCCUGGACUUGACAUGUGCGAAAGCGCUAGGUAGUAGAAGCCGGAAUCGCUAACGAACCAGCAAUGGGAGCUUAGUACAGGUGCUGCAUGGCUGUCGUCAGCUCUUGUCGUGAGAUGUCGGCUUAAGUCCCAUAACGAGCGAAACCCUUACCCUUAGUUGCAACCGCAAGGGCACUCUAGGGGGACUGCCGGUGUUAAACUCGGAGGAAGGUCGGGGAUGACGUCAAGUCCUCAUGGCC